rnacentral:misc_RNA from 1 species
CUGGCGGGGAAGCAGGGGCAGAAGGGCGAUUAUUAUCAUUCAAAUGCAUGUUACUCAACAGAUCAUCCAAAGGUGGGUAUGCAGAAGAGUGAGAAUUGGCGGAAUCACUAUAAGUAUCAUGAUUUAUCGAUGACCCAGUUCCCAAAGGAGGGCAAAUAUCAUGUCUUUGAUGAGAGGAAAGGGAAGCUCCUUGUGGGGUGCUAUCAUGGCCCGGUUGAUGCUGAUAAGGAUACUGCG